rnacentral:rRNA from 1 species
GUAGGUGGCAAGCGUUGUCCGGAAUUAUUGGGCGUAAAGCGCGCGCAGGCGGUUUUUAAGUCUGAUGUGAAAGCCCACGGCUCAACCGUGGAGGGUCAUUGGAAACUGGAGAACUUGAGUACAGAAGAGGAAAGCGGAAUUCCACGUGUAGCGGUGAAAUGCGUAGAGAUGUGGAGGAACACCAGUGGCGAAGGCGGCUUUCUGGUCUGUAACUGACGCUGAGGCGCGAAAGCGUGGGGAGCAAACAGGGAUUAGAUACCCUGGUAGUCCACGCCGUAAACGAUGAGUGCUAAGUGUUAGGGGGUUUCUGCCCCUUAGUGCUGCAGCUAACGCAUUAAGCACUCCGCCUGGGGAGUACGGCCGCAAGGCUG